rnacentral:SRP_RNA from 1 species
GCUGGGCACUGUGGUUCACGCCUCUAGUCCCAGCUACUCGGGAGGCCGAGGUAGGAGCAUCGCUUGAGUCCAGGAGUUCAGGGUACAGUGCGCUAUGCCCAUAGUGUGUCAGCACUGAGCUCAGCAUCAAUAUCGCGACCCUCUGUGAACAGGGGUCCACUAGGUGGCCUAAGGAGGGGUGAACUGGCCCACGUCGGAAAUGGAGCAGGUCAAAAUUCCCAUGCUGAUCAUUUUUAAAUAUAUGGAAUCUGCAUAUAUAUUCCAAGCUAAAGUUGAACUCA